AGGGGCGUAGCCAAGCGGCCAAGGCAUCGGGUUUUGGUCCCGACACUCGUAGGUUCGAGUCCUACCGCCCCUGCCA
rnacentral:tRNA from 1 species